AGAUGAGCACUGGGUAUAAAGUGUGCGCAGGCGGUUCGGAAAGAAAGAUGUGAAAUCCCAGAGCUUAACUUUGGAACUGCAUUUUUAACUACCGAGCUAGAGUGUGUCAGAGGGAGGUGGAAUUCCGCGUGUAGCAGUGAAAUGCGUAGAUAUGCGGAGGAACACCGAUGGCGAAGGCAGCCUCCUGGGAUAACACUGACGCUCAUGCACGAAAGCGUGGGGAGCAAACAGGAUUAGAUACCCUGGUAGUCCACGCCCUAAACGAUGUCAACUAGCUGUUGGGGCCUUCGGGCCUUGGUAGCGCAGCUAACGCGUGAAGUUGACCGCCUGGGGAGUACGGUCGCAAGAUUAAAACUUAAAAAAUUAAGACGG
rnacentral:rRNA from 1 species